rnacentral:tRNA from 1 species
AAGCAAUUAGUUUAAAGAAAACGCUUGAUUUCGGCUCAAUAACUUGUGGUUCGACUCCGCAAUUGCUUA